CAGCACACUCACCCUUACAAGGGACUCAGGUGGAAGAACUGCAAAUAUCAGUGAGCUACAAAACUGAAAUCAAACUUAACUUCUUAGACAACAUGAGCAUUAAUGAGACUCAGGAUAACAUCCUUUUUUUUUAUAAGGUCACCUAAGCCACACUCCCUCAUUCUGUAAGCUGCUUUCUCCAGGGCCUCUCAGGGACUUUUCAUCACUGCAUGUCUGGCACAAUCGCUGCUGAACAGCACAGAAAGCACCAAUAAACAGAGGCCCUGUCCUCACGGAACAGCGUCUACAUCUAACACCUCCCUUCAAACACUGGACGAGUGCCUGCAAGACCCACCGCAGCCUCGAAAGUGGGAGAGAGCGGCGCAGCUGAUGUCACAGCCACCCUGCCCAGAGUGGCAGCUGAGGGGUGAGGAGAGCACGGCGCACAGAUAAGCACACAGGGCCUGGACCUGGCUUUGUCUCUUGCCAAUGGUGGGACUGUGGACAAGUUACCAAACUGCUAUGCAACUCCACGCUUCCGAUCUACCAGUGGAGGAAGUAAUUCCCACCUCACAGAGGAAGUCUGAGAAUGAGGUAAAUGUCCAUCAUCCCUGCACUGACAGAGACUAAGCCCUCUGGCAACAAACAAAGCCAGCCACAAAUCACUCUCCUGAGACGGCAGGACAGAGCGCAGAGUCAGAGAGGCACAGCUGAAACCCAGCUGCUCCGAGGCCGGUGUGUUGUUUUGGGUAAUUUACUCCCCUUUGUUUCAGAGACCGCCCAGCGACCCCCUGGGCCAGACAGAACUCCUGACUAAAAAUGGCUGGAAGGCAGUGUCUUUUCAAAAAUGCAUCCAAUGUGGAAAACAGAGAUGCUGAUGGAAGCAGGGGGCAGAGGGAAGGACGGCACUUAUAAACAUGUUCAUCUGGAAUAUAAAGCCCUCAGCUGCAGUCC